rnacentral:lncRNA from 1 species
UCUGAAGCAAUUAUGGCCACUGUAACAUGAGGACCAUAGAAAGGAAUGUGCUGCAUCACACACCGGUUCUCAGACUUUCUGCCUAGAGAUGACACCUUCCUAUGUGAUUGCUCAACUCCAGUGGUAGGGACAGAAUAAUACAGUCCUGCCAGGUGCUUGGAGGAAGAGCAAGCAUCCCUAGUGACAUGGAGGACACAACAAUUCACCUGGCCCCCACAGCAGAUAAAGAAACUGAGGCUCAGAGAGGAGAAAUUAUUCAUCCCUGGCCCCUCAAUAAGAUACAUGGAAUUGAUGAACCGUGGCCAUGUGGAUGGACAAGAGGACCUCCUGGGAUGGCAACUGAGCCUCUGUGAGAAGACUGAGGCUCAACAAAGCUAAGCCACCUGUCCAAGACUGCACAGCUGGGCGGAAGCUCCGCCGUCUGACCUUGAGACCUGUACUCUUUCCCACUCCUUAGUAAUGACAGGGCCUGUGGGGUCUCAGGGAUCCACUUUGGGAAAGUUUUGACUUUCAGAUCCCCAUAGAAAAGGCAGACAACUGAGAGUCAUCAAACACUACACCAUGCUCAGGUAGGCAAAGUG